GCGCACGUGGGGGGGGGGGCAAAGAGGCGUGGACACAGUGGCUGGGGCGGACGGCCGGAGUCCGUAGGUCAUGAGAGGCCCGUGGAUUCGGGCUUGGGGCCGCAGGGAUACCAUGGUGCCGGGCCCGUGGCGACGGCGGCGGCCGGAGGAGCUGCAGGUUCCGGGGGACGCGAAGCGGGUGUGCAGGAGACUCGAGGCGGCUGGGCAGGAGCGAGGCUGCCCCCCGGUGAAGGUGAGCGCCCCCAUGUCCUGGAGCGGCGAGGGGCUCCCUGACAGCGGCCAGCGGUGGCCACACGCGGGGAUUCCUCACAACGGUGGAAGGAACUCGGCCCAGCCUUGCCCGAGAUGUAUUGCGGGGGAAUCUGAGAAUUCCUGCGCGUUGUGCUUCAUUCCCUGGUGUAGUCCUUGAACAAGGGCGGAGGCAGAGAUCCAGCGGUCGGAACUUACUGUACUUUAGGUUGGUUCGUACAACAGCUGCACCUGCGCUGGAUACAAAUACGUGAUGUUUACCUGGAGAGACACAUUGGACAUCUUAGCCACACGGAGAACUAUUAGAAGGUGCAAGCGAGAAGGCUCCGGUCUGGGUUCCAGCCAUCCACGUGCCAGCGAGUGUCGUGUCCUGGACGGACGUGGGCGCCCACCUGUUCACGCUGCAGCCCGUUGUCCUCUCGCUCGGGUGACCCCCUUGUCCACCACGCCAGAGCCAGGAGGACCCCGUCCCCUCAGAGGAGCCUUCCGACCGUUGUUACCUGCCACAGCCUCCUUUCAGAUGCAUCGUUUGCAUCAUGUCAAAGUUAAAAAAAGAUCCAGCGUCAGAUUCCCUAUGAGGUUUGAGGGCCCAGUGGCUUAUGGAGUUUCGUCGGGGCUCUUCUGUCAGGCUUUCCAGUUGUUGUGUGGGUGUGUCCAGGGCUGCUUAUGCUCUUUUUUAACUAAAAGACUUAUUUUUAUAUUUAAAAUACUCUAUAAUCUUAACCUGGAUUUUACUAAAUGCUGGUAUCCAAUCUGUUCCAUGUAAUUCCCCAACCGAAGUUGUCAGGCACAGGGCUUCCUUUAUAUUAAAGUGAAAUUUCUUAUUUCU